rnacentral:SRP_RNA from 1 species
GGUCAAGAGUCAACAACUAAAAAUGGCUAAAUUCCGUCAGGUCUGAAAGGAAGCAGCGGUAGGUUUAUUUGAAGUGUGUCUGAUUUCUUGACCUUU